rnacentral:rRNA from 1 species
UGAAACACAGGUUCCUGUACAAACAGCAAAAUUAAGCAAUGUCAAGCCUGGUCAGUACCUAGAUGGGUGACCACUUGGAAAUACCAGGUGCUGUAAG